rnacentral:rRNA from 1 species
AACGAACGCUGGCGGCAGGCUUAACACAUGCAAGUCGAACGGGUGUAGCAAUACAUCAGUGGCAGACGGGUGAGUAACACGUGGGAACCUUCCUAGGGGUACGGAACAACUCAGGGAAACUUGAGCUAAUACCGUAUACGUCCGUGAGGAGAAAGAUUUAUCGCCCUUAGACGGGCCCGCGUCGGAUUAGCUAGUUGGUGGGGUAACGGCCUACCAAGGCGACGAUCCGUAGCUGAUCUUAGAGGAUGAUCAGCCACACUGGGACUGAGACACGGCCCAGACUCCUACGGGAGGCAGCAGUGGGGAAUCUUGGACAAUGGGCGCAAGCCUGAUCCAGCCAUGCCGCGUGAGUGAAGAAGGUCUUCGGAUUGUAAAGCUCUUUUGCCAGGAACGAUAAUGACGGUACCUGGAGAAUAAGCCCCGGCAAACUUCGUGCCAGCCGCCGCCGUAA